UGAAAUAAAAAAGAAAACUUAAAAACCUACAUCACUGAUGUGAUGUUUUCCUAGAGUGUUUGUUUUUGCACUAUCUAAAUAUGGAAAAAGUGAAAAGAGUUAAAUCCAUUUGCUGGUUUGUUUUUGGCAAAAAAAUACAGAAUCAGUGUAAAAUGUCCAGAAUUAUUUUGUUCAACAGUAGCGCUGAUGCGGAUUCCAUCGACGGAAUCGACACGAUCUGCUGUCGAACUGGCCGAGCUCUUUCAGCAAAAUGGCUGGGAUCUGAGACGCUGGGACUAGAUAAAAUGACCGAAACCAGACGGGUGCUUCACAGAACAAAACAAGCAAUGUUUUCCCGGGACGGUGCACUACGCGGUUCCGUCACGAUUCCCGUUAAUCGGAAGCUAAAAUGCUGACGUGUUUGCAAAUCGGAACCCAUCGGAAAAUAUUUCUUUAACGCCUGAAAAUUUAUUUGUGAGAAGUGUUGAAGUGUGGAAUUACAACUGAACCUUUCCCUAAUGCGAAAUAAUAAAAUAAGUUGAUUAAAAGUACA